AGGAUCAUUUCAAAGUUUAUCUUAUAACAGGAAUAAAUUUAUAUUUAUUGAUGAGAUAAAAUAAAUAUAAAAUGUCAUAAUUUAAAAUUUUCUCCAAGUUUAGUUUUGAUUAGUAGCUCACCAGUGAGUCAAUGACCAUGAGGAAGGGUCUACAACAACUAGCUAGCAACAACCAUGGAAGAAUUUUUUAUUUCCUUUUAUAAAAAUCAUGAAAAAUGUAAAAAAGUGCAGCUAUAUAUAUCGAGAAUCUACAAGACUCAGUUUCAAUUAUUAAAAGAGCAGAGCAACAAAGCAAGAGAGAAAAAACAAAACCAUACAACUUUUUUCUUUGAGGUAUCCUGGCCCCACAUAAGUGAUCCAGACUAGUCACGUGUUGCCAUGUGCCGGUCCUCUGUCCCUGGCGAUGCCGAAAUGUUAAUUCUCUAGUGGAUCUUUGUUUGAUUAAGCCAAAGCAGACCGACCCUAAGAAGAUGUCUUCAUCGCAAAACAACUCAACUUCAUCAUCCUCAACUCAGUCUUCCCUCCCCGCAGGCGCCACCACCGGAGAAAACAACGUUAGCCGUGAAGGGACUGCGAUAACGUCGACCCAACAACUAAGGGCGAUCUUGGAGACGGACGCAGUCAAAUGUGGAAUGUGCGGCAAAUAUUAUACAAGAGAGCAGAAUCCACAUCCUCACCGCAGAGGACACAACAACAUUCCACAGAGACGCAAAUGAGGAGAAGUGGAAAUGGCGAGUAAUGCUAUAAGCGCGCGUUACGAUGUUUUCAGUCUGUCUAUGCAAAAGCUAUCUAUAAUAAGACUUGCAUGAUACCAUUAUCUUUUCUAACUAAGCUAUAUGUUGUACCGUCUUUCUUGGUUUCUUUCAAUAAUAUCUGUGUUUCCUUU